UCAGGUACAGAUAUUUUUCGCCUGCCCUUCCGAAUGUCCGUUUGAGCUCAAAUUUGGCAAUCAUAUUCGGUUUCACUUAACUUAACGAAAGAUAUUUUAAUCUUUCAGUUCGACCCUCUUUGGUCACCGAAAGCUCUACCGAACUGUAAUCUCUAGCAGAUAGCAGUUUAAUUUUAUUCUCCACCUUCCGGAUAUCAGAAUGACAUGAAACUUUAAAUCUAGCCUCAUAAAAAUAAUUCUGACAUAUUCUCCAGUUUUCAUAAUUUUCUGACACUGUAUAUUUUCUGCUAAUUUAUCUGCCCCGUUUCUCACAAAAAAUUCUAAAUCUUCUGUUUUCGCUCCGAUUUCAGCACAGGUCAUUUCCAACUUAUAUUUCACUUCUCUAAAUUCAAUAAAAAUAGUAUCUCAUACUAUUUUUAUUUAUUUUCACUUUUACAUUAAAAUUCGGUAUAUUACAUUCCACCGCAACUUCAUAACUACAGAAGUUCGGCAUCUUACAUCCUCCCCUCCUUAAAAGAGUUUCGUCCUCGAAACUAACUCACUUCAAAUCCAACUGAUACCUCAACUCAAUUUAUCGAGUAAUCGAGGGUUUCAAUGCACUUCCGCACUUCGGGGCAGCCUUACUCUCAUCGGAACUAUCCAAAGGCCCACCACGGAGGAUGUGAGACUAAUUUCACUCACCUUUGCUAAGCAUAAUGCCGAAAGUGCAUUACGGUUCCCGUGAGUCUCGGUGGCAGCGUGAGUCGAUACUCAACGACUCUUCACGCUCCAACAUUACUCGCUACUCAGCACACAAAGAACCUUUCUUUGCAUUUCUCAUCCCUUCGGAAAACACACUCCGAUUCGAGAGAAGCAAUAUCAUUGGUGCAUCACCCAAUCGCGAGUGCUCCAAUCACAAUUGGACCUUUGCUCUACCACGAGAUGGCACACUCCGGCACAUCUCCAUUUCCAAUCCAUCAUAGAGCAUUAGUCUCAAUGCGCGUGGCUACCCAUUGCCCACGUGUCUCCUAGAGACCACUUUACUUUCAAUUCCACUUGCCACGACCAACAUCAAAUUCGCUCUCGCAACGAGCUCACACGAACUCCCCAUUCGUGAAUCCAAGCCAAACUCCUCGCUAAGGCUAUCCGUUCACUCACUUUCCUCAAAUCCAUAGGUGAACCACGGGUCACCAAUCCUACGUAGGCCUACCGCCUAAACUGAUCUCAACUACGCGUAGCGUCUCUCUCUCACUAGCGUAGACCCAAUCAGCACUGGGCGAAAUUCUCACUUGGGAAUUCGUACACACUCCAACCAGGAGAAACUAAGACCCCAAACCACGUCAAGUCCUCGGGUUGGAUCACUACACACUCGGUGUAUCAUCAAUCAUACGAUCUAUCACGUGGCAUGCUCACCAGAGCAACACAUAAUACUAUCGGCUCCUAAGUACCUAGUGUGAGCCAUCAGCCCCACGAGUGAUCCCAGGUACGCUUCACACCUAGCAAUGCUACAGUGCUACUGCCUACACACUCUCCCGGUCGAGUCAAUACCACACUCCACGAGCACCUAUAUUCGAGCAUCGUACGUCUCUACAGCGUUCCACACUAUGUCCAGUAUUAGGCAACCCUGCCUAUGCACGCCGACCAAACAAGCGCAACCUCCAACCUCAAGUUGAGGUACUACUAGGCCCACGUGCUCGUACUCGGUCACUAAUCAAGCGUUCACAAAACAGUGAUUCCAUUGUCCACUGUUUGAUCUACCGGAUCUACAUCCGAACACUCGGACUACUCGAUGUUCAAAAGGGUUAUGACUCGACUCUCGCAAUCGGCUACUUACCUUGCCUUGAGAGUUGGUCCACCAUCUCCAUCCCCAUCACGAGUCUUACCGUUAGACUCUCACCAGCGACUCGCUAGUGCCAACUUGCUCUUUACCUGCUCCAACAGGUAUUAUACUUCCAUAUGCAAGCAUGCCCGGGUAUCCUCACUCACCCGUCUACUUGGUCCCUACUAUACAAUGUAUAAAUAGUAGCAACUGACCACAACAAAUGCAUGCUAUGCACCAACCUUACAUCACGCAGAAGCACACGACUGCUUCAACUAAACCACCCCUGCCAUGACGUCGUCGGCAGCAGUAGGUUCCUCAAGCUAGGUCGCGUACCACGGCUACUUGUCGCUCGCCGCGAACCCUCCGGUUGCCACAUCCUCAUCGCUCACUCUCCAGACCAUACUAUAGGUGGCACACCUGCAGGCUGUCUCGGAGAGGAGAAGGCCGUCGUCAAUGCCAAGGUCUAGUCAUCCACCAACGGCACUCAUCUUGCACAUGGCUCGGCCGCCCACAACGAAUGCACUUUUCAUCACGUAGCGCACACCGCCGCGCCUAGCGAGAAUUUCUGUAAUCCCACACCUCAAAGAAGUUAAACAAAAGACACUUCCGGGGUUCGGGAUUGCGGCUGCAACUUAAGAUUGUGCAUUGCCCAAACUGGGCAAUUUUUGAGUAUGGGGAUCGGUCUUCCUAUAGAGAGACCAGACCCCGAGAGCAAGCUGCGCCCAGAGUAGCUUUUCUGCUCUUUCCAGGCUUACGGGAACCGGUCCCUCAGCUGAAGGACCGGACCCCGAGAGCUUAAAAAUUCUGCAAGAUGCAGAAUUCCACCAACUUGCUCUCCGAAGUCCUUCCUAAUGCACUUUAUGCACUUUCGACACCUUCAGCCUUUUCGAAGCGUUCCAAACUCGUCUUCGACCGACUUUGAUCGAAGUCCGCUUCCACACAUCGAGGUUCCACUUCCUCAAAGAGGGUCUCCGUGGAGUCGAUCCACAACUCCACGAUCCACGGACCCGCGUCCCCUCCACCAAGGGCAGGCGGAUCAAAUCGCUUAAAGGUCAUAAGGGCCGCUGAAGCUCACGAAGUUCCAACUCUCCGCUCGCCUCAAAUUGCCCAGGGACACCACUUGUCCCAUCUCGCGCCAAUCUAAUGAAGAUAGCCUACACGGUGCUAUCGCUUCCUAAAACACGACAACUUGAUCAAUCCUCGACCCCCAAGGUCGAGCACGAAAUAACUGACACCGACCCCGGGCGAAAGUCAUACAAGGGAGCCUAUUCUCAUCACUCGGUUUCAUGUUGUGUAUACCCAACAUGAACACCCUCGGUUUAGAAUAAACAACACCUCGAGUCUACCUCUAACAUCCGUUUUAGAGGUUUACUAACCUGCCCCAAUCAAUUAACUUUUCGCCACAAGUCAUAAGUCCUCGUCUCUCACGAGCCUUAACCUCUAUGGUUUCACUAUCCUAGGGUCUCCUAGGUCCAUCUAAACUAUUUUUUCAAUCUCUACUUUAUGCUCUGAUAUCAUCUUAUCUGUCAUGUCCCGAGCCCCGCCUAUUUGGUUGGGUUCGGGCACGCCGACAGACCGCCAAACGGACAGAGUCUCACCUGUAUGUCUUAGGCGUCGCAAUCAAUACAAUACAAGAGUUCCAACAAAGAACAGUGUACAAACAGAGAUUGCAUAAGGAAGUAUUAAAACAUAAACAACUAAGCUAUUACAACCAUUCAUGUCAAAUCAUACAUUUAUAUUUUCUAUCAAAUACAUUCAACUUCCGAAUACAAUCAAUUAUCACAAAAUUAUUACAAGUUUGUUCUUUUUCUUUUCUACACCUCUAGCAAGGCUGACUCGGGAUACCACUAUCUCUGGUCUCGGUGGUAGGGUGCUAUCUACGGAGCUACGUCCUCUCCUCGCGCCGCCGCGCCGCUCACGUGAGAACCUAUAAUACCCCAAAACAACGUGGGGUGAGAACAAACUCUAUGGUUCCCAGUGGGUACGACCACCCAAGGAAAAGCUCGAUCAACAGGUCCGAAGGAGGCAAAUUGCAGUUUAGUCUAAUAAACAGAUAGAUAUAAUAUCUAGAUUAUGUAACUAACAAUACCAUGCAUUGCCUCACAAACAUAGUAAUGCAAAUGCUAUAUGCAAAUCAUGCAAUAAUGCAACUAUGCAACGAACUAGUAGUUCAUUCGUUACUACUUUCAAUCCUGCUAACCAUAGCUCAUCCAAUUGACUUCUAAGUUUUCCUCUAUCUUAGAUUCUUGUCAUUUACCGUUUUGAUCAUAAAGUUUCACCUACAUUUUCAAAGCUAACCACCCGACUUGAUCUUGAGUUAAUCAUCCGCGGAAUGCGCGCAAAGCUAGGCUCGAGGCGAAGGACGUCUCACUUGCACCUCAACCUUAAAUCCACUCAACUGGGAUACCAAAUCCACUCUGUGGCUCAUAUACUUGUCACCCAAUCACUAAGCUAACCCGAGGGUUCGCCACCAACUCACGUCUCAAAGUCUCAUAGGGGAGGAGAUCUUAAUCACUCGCUACCCCCGAGACCGCCUGCGGACAGCUAGCUACUGUCCGGGCAGCUCACGACUGCCCCCCUAGUGACCAAAACUCCGGAGUGCAUAGCUUGUGUGGAGCGACCACCACAAGCGCAGACAUGCUAUGUGAGUAUGAUCCAAUCCUCGCCAACUGAGGAUACCCUGUCAACUAGGGUCAUCAUCAACAUGGAAUCAAUGUGUUCCUAUACUCAUCAUCCUAGUGUUUCAACUACACUAAGUUCUUAUAUCAUACAUCAUGACCUAUGUCAAGUGUCUCAUCUGUACUAGGUCCCAUGCCACUCAGCUAGAUCUAAUUGACUCUAGGUUCAAUGCCCUCAUCACACAACCUAGGUUUAAUUAACUCUAGGUUCAAUCCACAACCUAUGUUCACGACACUAGGUUCAAUGUCAUUCUUCCUAGAUCUUGCUUCUAGGUUCACUUGUUCAACCUAUGUUCACGACACUAGGUUAAUGCCACUCGAUCUAUUCGAUACCUAAUUGUCCACAUCGAGUUUCUAUAAACAUCCACAUUAUCAACAUGCAUAUUAUACUUAGUCUUUUCUCAUUAUGUCACUGUGCUCCCUUCUAGCAUGUAGGUUAACAUGUCAUAUGCAAAUAACAUCUAGCAUAUAUUUCAACAUAGCAAUUUGCCAUUAUCAACUAGCAUGCAUUUCUAAUGCAUCAACAUGCAACUAUCAACUAGCAUACAUAAUAUUUAUAUGCAAUUAUCAACAAGCAAGUAUUCCCAUGAUGCUAGCAUGCCUAUGUUUCCAUUUAGCAAUUAGGUUCACAUGCAUAAUUUCCUAAACCUAUCAAUUAGGUUUACAUGCAUUAUCUUCACCUAGCACACUACAAUGCCAACAUGUACCUAGCAUAUAUUUCACAAGAGGUUGUCAUGCAUUUCACUUUGCUUUUCUAUAUCAUGUCACAAUGCACUCCUCUAGCUUGUAUUUUCACACAUCAACAUGCAAGUAUCACCUAGCAUAUAAUCUCAUCAUACAUAUUCUAUCUAUAUGCUUUAACACAUUUAUGAUGCUAUCAUGCACAUAUUCUAAUCAUGCUAACAUGCAUAUAUAUCAUCCAAGGUGACUAUUACAUAGUAUCUCAUGCAUUCACCAAUGCAAUCAACUACCACUACUCAUAUAUAUAUGCAUUAAUGAGAAAGCACAAUUUUCUUCGACAUGUAGGUGACCUAGUCGCUUGGUAAGCACAACCCACCUGUUAUCGCGUUCCGAUUGCUUGUCGACACUUGCAAUCGGCCGGCCGCGGCACACGCCGCUCGGCUCAACCCAAUUCACGCGCGACCACCGAAAGACCUCCGAUCCGCGAUCCGAAAAUUAAAGGUCUUUGGUGUGACGCCCCAACUUCCCAGGGGGUCACCCAUCCUAGGACUACUCCCGUCCUAGCACGCUUAACUCUCUUAACCUCUUGGGCCUUGCCACCACCCAAAAUGCUUAAGCCGGGUUAAGAGUUUAGCCCUAUUAUAUCUUAUAUAUAGGACUAUCUGGGGUCUCACAAUCUCCCCUCCUUUAAGCCCUGACGUCCUCAAUAUAUUAUAUAUAUUAAUAAAUUAAUAUAUAUUAUAUAUAUAAUACACUCUGGGGUCUAUCAGGAUAUAUAUUCUAUAUUAUCCCGAUUUGAGAAUUGGGGCCGAAUUCGUAAAACCCACCACCGUUCCGGGUUCUCCAAUUCUCUCAAUUCGCACGAUCCUGCCCUCAUCAGGAUUCUACCCACUGGGGGUGGCCGUCUCGACUCUCUCGAUUUCCGCGUUGAAGUCCUAGACUACCUAUCUCCCAAACACGCUGGGUCACAAAGCGGCACCCCUCGCGGCCACAAUAAACAUUUCUUCUUCCUACCAAGCAAGUCCAAUACACAUCUAAUGGCCCUCGACUUGUUUCACUGGUAGUUCUUGUUCAUAGGAGACGGCGCGUAACUACUAGAUAAGCUAGUCGACGUUCCUAGAACACUUAUCAGGAUAUAUAUUCUAUAUUAUCCCGAUUUGAGAAUUGGGGCCGAAUUCGUAAAACCCACCACCGUUCCGGGUUCUCCAAUUCUCUCAAUUCGCACGAUCCUGCCCUCAUCAGGAUUCUACCCACUGGGGGUGGCCGUCUCGACUCUCUCGAUUUCCGCGUUGAAGUCCUAGACUACCUAUCUCCCAAACACGCUGGGUCACAAAGCGGCACCCCUCGCGGCCACAAUAAACAUUUCUUCUUCCUACCAAGCAAGUCCAAUACACAUCUAAUGGCCCUCGACUUGUUUCACUGGUAGUUCUUGUUCAUAGGAGACGGCGCGUAACUACUAGAUAAGNCCAAAAAUUAAAGGUUUAUAACUUGAUGCCACGAUGCUCCGGAUCCAUUCUCGUGAUUUUUGGACGCUGCCUCGGCCCUCCAGGCGGAAACAAAGCCGAACGUCCGUUUCUUCAAUAUCUUCGCAUAGGCUCGACGAAUCGCCGAAACGACUUCGCCAGCGCGUCAAAACACCUAGCAAUUAGGUUUAUAUAGGUUUAAUUUAGAUCAAACCCCUACAUUUACAAAACUAGCAUUUCUAACCUAGCAUGAAAACAACCCCAAAUAAUCCGAAAUUAAAUGGAGCGACGUGCUAGAAACACUUUAGAGACCAUUAGAACACUAAACAUCAAGGAUUAAACCAAAUCCUAGAAGCUUACCAAAUUGUGAACGCCGAGUCGAAAGCACGUCGCGCAACCGGGUGCACGAAGACUCGAACCGACGCUCCGCACGCGUUCGCAAGCACGCUCUCUGCCAACGCCGCGAGUUUGAGGGAGAGAUCUAGAGAGAUGAGAGAGAUAUUUAGAGAGAUAAAGGAGGGUUUCUCUCUCUCCCUCCCUGCAUGCGUGUGAUGCUUGUGCUGGUGGUGAUGCUCGGUUGAAGGAGAAAAGAAGCAAAUAGCUUCUUUUAUAAUAAACACCCUCAACAGUAUUCACUUCAGUUUGUAGCUCAGGUACAGAUAUUUUUUGCCUGCCCUUCCGAAUGUUCAUUUGAGCUCAAAUUUGGCAGUCAUGCUCGGUUUCACUUAACUUAACGAAAAAAAUUUUAAUCUUUCAGUUUCGACCCUGUUUGGUUACCGAAAGCUCUACCGAACUGUAAUAUCUAGCAGAUAGCAGUUUAGUUUUAUUCUCCACCUUCCGGGUGUCAGAAUGACAUGAAACUUUAAAUCUAGCCUCAUAAAAAUAAUUCUGACAAAUCCUCCAGUUUUCAUAAUUUUCUGACACUGUGCAUUUUCUGCUAAUUUAUCUGCUCCGUUUCUCACAGAAAAUUCUAAAUCUUCUGUUUUCGCUCCGAUUUCAGUACAGGUCAUUUUCAACUUAUAUUUCACUUCUCUAAAUCCAAUAAAAAUAGUAUCUCAUACUAUUUUUAUUUAUUUUCACUUUUAUAUUAAAAUCCGGUAUAUUACAUUCCACCGCAACUUCAUAACUACAUAAGUUCGGCAUCUUACAUUACUCCUAUUCAGGCUUUUCGUCAAGCAAUCUGCAAGAUUCAGAUCCGAUCUGAUAAAACUCAAAGAAAUAAUAUCAUGAGAUAUUAGCCAUCUAACAGACUUCUGUCUUAAUUUAAUAUAUCUACUAACUUUAUAAUUUACCAACUUCUUUUUACAAAAAUCAAUUGCAACUCGAGAAUCACACCUAA
rnacentral:lncRNA from 1 species